rnacentral:rRNA from 1 species
AACGCGUUAAGUGCACCGGCCUGGGGAGUAUGCUCGCCAAGGGGUGAAACUCAAAGGAAUUGACGGGGGCCCGCAACAAGCGGUGGAGCAUGUGGUUUAAUUCGAAUNGAUACGCGAGGAACCUUACCAGGGUUUGACAUAUGCCGGGAAAAUGUGCAGGAGACUGGCGCAGCCCUUCGGGGCCGGGUAUANCCAGGGGUGGCUGCAUGGCCGUCGUCAGCUCGUGCCGUGAGGUGUUGGGUUAAGUCCCCACGAGCGCAACCCCUACCGUCUGUUGNNCCAGCAUUCAGUUGGGGACUUCAGGCGGGAACUGCACGGGUGACAAACCGNGAGGAAGGUGGGGACGACGU